UGAAUACGAGACGCUAAGGCGUCGAAGUAGUGUAUAUCAGACUUCCAAGAAAAGCUUGCACUGUCAUAGAUAAAAAAUGCCUGUACCAUAACCGACACAGGUGGGUAGGUAGAGUAUACUAAGGGCGCGAGAUAACUCUCUCUAAGGAACUCGGCAAAAUAACUCCGUAACUUCGGGAGAAGGAGUGCCUUAUUUAUAAGGUUGCAAUAACAAGAUCCAAGCAACUGUUUAUCAAAAACACAGGUCUCCGCUAAGUCGUAAGACGAUGUAUGGGGGCUGACGCCUGCCCAGUGCCAGAAGGUUAAAGAAGUUGGUUAGCAAUUGCGAAGCUGAUAACUGAAGCCCUGGUGAACGGCGGCCGUAACUAUAACGGUCCUAUGGUAGCGAAAUUCCUUGUCGGGUAAGUUCCGACCCGCACGAAAGGCGUAAUGAUUUGGAUACUGUCUCGGAGAGGGGCUCGGUGAAAUAGACUUGUCUGUGAAGAUGCGGACUACCUGCACCAGGACAGAAAGACCCUAUGAAGCUUUACUGUAACUUGAAAUUGAAAUUGGACUUUAUUCGCGCAGCAUAGGUGGGAGGCGUUGAUUAUAAUCUUGCGGGAUUAUUGGAGCCAUCAGUGAGAUACCACUCUUGUAAUGUUAGAUUUCUAACUUUGAAUCAUUAUCUGGUCAAAGAACAGUUUCAGGCGGGCAGUUUGACUGGGGCGGUCGCCUCCUAAAUGGUAACGGAGGCGUACAAAGGUUUCCUCUGAACGGUUAGAAAUCGUAUCUAGAGUGUAAAGGCAUAAGGAAGCUUGACUGUGAGACCUACAAGUCGAGCAGGGACGAAAGUCGGUCUUAGUGAUCUGACGGUACUGAGUGGAAAGGCCGUCACUCAACGGAUAAAAGUUACUCUAAGGAUAACAGGCUGAUCUCCCCCCAGAGUUCACAUCGACGGGGAGGUUUGGCACCUCGAUGUCGGCUCAUCGCAUCCUGGGGCGGUAGUACGUCCCAAGGGUUGGGCUGUUCGCCCAUGAAAGCGGUACGCGAGCUGGGUUCAGAACGUCGUGAGACAGUUCGGUCCAUAUCCGGUGUAGGCGUUAGAAUAUUGAGAGGAGCCUUCUUUAGUACGAGAGGACCGAGAAGGACAUACCUCUGGUGUACCAGUUAUCGUGCCAACGGUAAACGCUGGGUAGCUAUGUAUGGAGUGGAUAACCGCUGAAAGCAUCUAAGUGGGAAGCCCACCUCAAGAUAAGUAUUCAC
rnacentral:rRNA from 1 species